GACGAACGCUGGCGGCGUGCUUAACACAUGCAAGUCGAACGGAAAGGCCCUGCUUUUGUGGGGUGCUCGAGUGGCGAACGGGUGAGUAACACGUGAGUAACCUGCCCUUGACUUUGGGAUAACUUCAGGAAACUGGGGCUAAUACCGGAUAGGAGCUCCUGCUGCAUGGUGGGGGUUGGAAAGUUUCGGCGGUUGGGGAUGGACUCGCGGCUUAUCAGCUUGUUGGUGGGGUAGUGGCUUACCAAGGCUUUGACGGGUAGCCGGCCUGAGAGGGUGACCGGCCACAUUGGGACUGAGAGACGGCCCAGACGCCUACGGGAGGCAGCAGGGGGGAAUAUUGCCCAAUGGGCGGAAGCCUGAUGCAGCAACGCCGCGUGCGGGAUGACGGCCUUCGGGUUGUAAACCGCUUUCGCCUGUGACGAAGCGUGAGUGACGGUAAUGGGUAAAGAAGCACCGGCUAACUACGUG
rnacentral:rRNA from 1 species